CUAGCUACAGGCUUAACACAUGCAAGUCGAGGGGCAGCAUUUUAGUUUGCUUGCAAACUGAAGAUGGCGACCGGCGCACGGGUGAGUAACACGUAUCCAACCUGCCGAUAACUCCGGGAUAGCCUUUCGAAAGAAAGAUUAAUACCGGAUAGCAUACGAAUAUCGCAUGAUAUUUUUAUUAAAGAAUUUCGGUUAUCGAUGGGGAUGCGUUCCAUUAGUUUGUUGGCGGGGUAACGGCCCACCAAGACUACGAUGGAUAGGGGUUCUGAGAGGAAGGUCCCCCACAUUGGAACUGAGACACGGUCCAAACUCCUACGGGAGGCAGCAGUGAGGAAUAUUGGUCAAUGGGCGCGAGCCUGAACCAGCCAAGUAGCGUGAAGGAUGAAGGCUCUAUGGGUCGUAAACUUCUUUUAUAUGGGAAUAAAGUUUUCCACGUGUGGAAUUUUGUAUGUACCAUAUGAAUAAGGAUCGGCUAACUCCGUGCCAGCAGCCGCGGUAAUACGGAGGAUCCGAGCGUUAUCCGGAUUUAUUGGGUUUAAAGGGAGCGUAGGUGGAUUGUUAAGUCAGUUGUGAAAGUUUGCGGCUCAACCGUAAAAUUGCAGUUGAAACUGGCAGUCUUGAGUACAGUAGAGGUGGGCGGAAUUCGUGGUGUAGCGGUGAAAUGCUUAGAUAUCACGAAGAACUCCGAUUGCGAAGGCAGCUCACUAGACUGUCACUGACACUGAUGCUCGAAAGUGUGGGUAUCAAACAGGAUUAGAUACCCUGGUAGUCCACACAGUAAACGAUGAAUACUCGCUGUUUGCGAUAUACAGUAAGCGGCCAAGCGAAAGCAUUAAGUAUUCCACCUGGGGAGUACGCCGGCAACGGUGAAACUCAAAGGAAUUGACGGGGGCCCGCACAAGCGGAGGAACAUGUGGUUUAAUUCGAUGAUACGCGAGGAACCUUACCCGGGCUUAAAUUGCAACAGAAUAUAUUGGAAACAGUAUAGCCGUAAGGCUGUUGUGAAGGUGUUGCAUGGUUGUCGUCAGCUUGUGCCGUGAGGUGUCGGCUUAAGUGCCAUAACGAGCGCAACCCUUAUCUUUAGUUACUAACAGGUCAUGCUGAGGACUCUAGAGAGACUGCCGUCGUAAGAUGUGAGGAAGGUGGGGAUGACGUCAAAUCAGCACGGCCCUUACGUCCGGGGCUACACACGUGUUACAAUGGGGGGUACAGAAGGCGGCUACCUGGUGACAGGAUGCUAAUCCCAAAAACCUCUUUCAGUUCGGAUCGAAGUUUGCAACCCGACUUCGUGAAGCUGGAUUCGCUAGUAAUCGCGCAUCAGCCAUGGCGCGGUGAAUACGUUCCCGGGCUUUGUACCCACCGCCCGUCAAGCCAUGAAAGCCGGGGGUACAUGAAGUACGUAACCGCAAGGAGCGUCCUAGGGUAAAACU
rnacentral:rRNA from 1 species